AUUGAACGCUGGCGGCAGGCCUAACACAUGCAAGUCGAGCGAGCGGCGGACGGGUGAGUAAUGUAUGGGGAACUGCCCGAUAGAGGGGGAUAACUACUGGCAACGGUGGCUAAUACCGCAUACUAUCGGAUGAACCCAUAUGGGAUUAGCUAGUAGGUGGGGUAAAGGCUCACCUAGGCGACGAUCUCUAGCUGGUCUGAGAGGAUGACAAGCCACACUGGGACUGAGACACGGCCCAGACUCAUACGGUAGGCAGCAGUGGGGAAUAUUGCACAAUGGGCGCAAGCCUGAUGCAGGCAUGCCGCGUGUAUGAAGAAGGCCUUAGGGUUGUAAAGUACUUUCAGCGGGGAGGCGUUACCCGCAGAAGAAGCACCGGCUAACUCCGUGCCAGCAGCCGCGGUAAUUC
rnacentral:rRNA from 1 species